UACAGAGGGUGCAAGCGUUGUCCGGAAUCACUGGGCGUAAAGGGCGCGUAGGUGGCCUGAUAAGUAGGAGGUGAAAUCCUGGGGCUUAACCUCAGGGCUGCCCUCUAGACUGUCCGGCUCGAGCACAGUAGAGGCAGGUGGAAUUCCCGGUGUAGCGGUGGAAUGCGUAGAGAUCGGGAAGAACAUCGGUGGCGAAGGCGGCCUGCUGGGCUGUUGCUGACACUGAGGCGCGACAGCGUGGGGAGCAAACAGG
rnacentral:rRNA from 1 species